rnacentral:lncRNA from 1 species
CAAGUAUAAUUGCUUACACACUAGCCGCGAUUCGUGUAUGUGGGUUAAGCAGAGAUGGAAUAUUUAGUGUUAAGUCAUAAAUUCCCAUAAGCUGUUGGUGGAAGAGGAAGCCAGUUUCUCCCAUUAACCAGCUUGGAUACUAGAGCGCCUAAAAAGAUUUGCUUUUCUUGGGUAGUAGCAAGGGGUGCCACCCUGGCAGCUGAGAAUCUGAGAACGAGGAGAAUUGCAU